rnacentral:rRNA from 1 species
UACGUAGGGGGCAAGCGUUGUCCGGAUUUAUUGGGCGUAAAGAGCGUGUAGGCGGCCUGAAAGGUCAGCUGUGAAAACUCGAGGCUCAACCUCGAGACGUCGGUUGAAACCAUCUGGCUAGAGUCCGGAAGAGGAGAGUGGAAUUCCCGGUGUAGCGGUGAAAUGCGCAGAUAUCAGGAGGAACACCGGUGGCGAAGGCGGGUCUCUGGGCCGAUACUGACGCUGAGGAGCGAAAGCGUGGGGAGCGAACAGG